rnacentral:lncRNA from 1 species
GGUCAUGGUUCCUGGGUCCUGGGACUGAGUUCAGAGGGGGCAGGGGAGGUUCUGGGGUAGAGCUCCAUAUCAGGCCCCUUGCCCAGCUGGGAGUUUACUUCUCCUUCUCCCUUUGCCCCUCCCCUUGCUCAUGCUCGCUCCCUCUCAAAUAAAUAAAAUCUUUUUUUUUUUUUUCCAAGACGACAUAUAGAUUGGAUGAACUUUUUCAAAUCUGUUACCCAGUAUUCACAUAUAUACCUUUUACUUUCUAUUCAAACAUUUUCCAGAAACUUAUAGAAGUGACUUGGAGUGGAAUGGUGUCUAUUUGUACCAUGCUUGAAGAUACAGGGGAAAGACUCUACCACACAUGUGUCUUAGCUCAUGUUUUCUGGCCUUUCAAGCCAUGCUGUAUUCAUGUACCUAAAACUUUAUUAAGCGCUUUUAUGAAACCCUUUUCUUUGCCCUGAGCCUGCAGAAAACACAAAUAAUUCACAGUAUGCUGGCAAGAAUAGAAUGCUGCUUCACCCUGAUGGCAGGAAAUCAUAAUUAUAAGCGUUUGUCAUUAAAACGACUGUGGGGAAUAAGCAUAUUCUGUACUUUAACAUUUAAAAAAGAGAAUUUGAGAUUAGCUCUGAGCUGUACAUAGCCUGGUAUUUUAAUUAAAAGUAAAGACUAUAAAGCCAUUUAUAAAAGCAAUACCAAAUUAGCAGGUUACUUAAUUUUACUUUCAUGUUCCUUUUCUCACUGUGCCUUAGGGAUUAUUUUGAAGACUGUGCUUGUCAUUUUACCAUAGAAGAUAAUACAAAUAUUCUUGGAAGUUGCUCAUUGUAAUGAAAAGUUGUUCUUCUUUUAAUGAAACAUAUUGUAGAUUUUCAAUCUUUGUUCCAUCUGAAUUCUAGUUUAAAGUGUUCUCGGUAAAUGGUAUUCUAUCUUCUGGUAGAGUACCUCUUUUCUUCUCUAAAAAUAAAGAAUUCCUACCAAUUUUAGGUUAUUGGAAUGUCCCUGUGUACAAUGGCUGAAAGCAAUAAGUUGAUAUUAAACAAAAACAGUGAAUCAGUAUAACUUGUGCUAGUAGAGUCCUGGAACACGUUUUUUUUUUAUUAGGUUUCUGUUUUAUAUAUUGUGUAUGUCACACUUAAUCAUGGCACUAUAAUGUACUUUUGGAUACUGCCACAAAUUAUAAAAGAAAUCACUAUGCACAGUUCACAAUUAAGGAGCUGAGCAGAGUGACAAAAUCUCCAUGCCACCUACAGAGAACCUGCAUAUUUGGUAUUAUUCUACCCUUAAGAUUUGUCCAUUCUCUUUGUCUUAUUUACAUAUUUAAUCAUUUAUUUAUAUCACUGUAGACUUAUAAAUAUUUUAUACUUUGAGUUAUAAUCUGAUAUAUCUUUGUUACUCAAAUUGUUCCAGUUUGGACCACUGGAAAUACUUCGUGUUGGCUCUUGUUGACAUACUGUGUGUGUGUGUGUGUGUGUGUGUGUGUGUGUGUGUGUUUACUUUUUGACACCACAAAAUACUUCAAGGCUCAUCUAUGUUUCCAGUUUAAUACUAGCAUCCACCAUUUUAUUAAGGAGUCUAUGUUCUUUUGAUCAGAGAAUAGUAUUAGAACCAACGUUUAGGAACUAGAUGUGUCUGUUGCUACUGAGGUAUUAUUGUUGCUUAUAGGUCCUCUCAGCUGACAGAGCAAGGACACGUGGGUAUACUGACCUGUGUAUAUGCACAUAUCUGCAAAUAUUUCUAUAUGUAACCAUAUGUGUCAAUAGUAAGCUAAACAACUUUAUACUAAUGUCUCCACCUAUAAUCCUAAUUUGGUAAUCUAAUCCUGCCUUUUUCUUUUCUUGUUGAUCUAUAACUUCCCCAUCCAACAGUGAGAAAAUUGACACCCCACAUCUCAUAAUAUGCUGUUCUUUUACUUUAUUGUUCAUUUACAGUAUACAUUCUGCAUUGCAUCCUAUAAUCCUUAACCUCCUACAUAUAUAACAUAUUUAGAAAUAUAUUUAAAUAUACAUAUAUAUUGAUAUGUGAACACUUUGUACUAUAAACCUCUAUGUCAAAUGUAUUGUCAAGUGUCAUGUACUACCACUAAACUAUCACACGGGACAGUUUUAUAACCAUAAAAUGUCCCUCAUCCUUUCUCUGGUUAACAUUUUUCCCAUAACACACAAACUCCAGAUAGCCACUGAACUAUUUUACAAUCUCUAUAGUUUAACCUUUUGAAGAAGAUCAUAUACAAGCCUCAGGCCACAUAUGGCCUUUUUAUAUUGGCCUUCAUGAUGUAGCCAUAAGAAUUUAAGAUUCAUUCAUACAUGUUUUUGCAUGGCUUGGCAGCUAGUUCUUUUUAUUGUUCAAUAGGAUAUCAUUGUAUGGAUUUACCACCAUAUUUUUACUUGUUCACUUAUGAAAGACAGUGUAAUUUCUUCUAGUUUUGGAGAUCAUGAAAAAAACUUCUAUCAGAAUUUGCAUGCAGAUUUUUGUAUGAGCAUAAGUUUUCCAAUGUGUAAGAUAGAUAUCCAUCAAUGUGAUUGCUGGAGCAUCUGGUAAGCCUAUGCUUAGCUUCAUAAGGAACUGUCAAGUGGCCUUCCAAAUUUGCUGUAGCGUUUUCAAUUUCUACCAGCAAAGAAAGGUCUUCCUUCUCUACAUCCUCACCAGCAUUUGACGUUGUCAGGUUUUUUUUUAAAUAAAAUCAGCUAUUCUAACAGAAUAUAAUGUUAUCUCCUACUUAAUUUACUACUCCCCAAUGGCCAGUGGCAUUGAGCAUGUCUUCAUAUGCUUAUUUACCAUCUUUAUACCUUCUUUGUUGAGGUAUCCUCACCGAUUUCUGACAUCCAUGGUUUCUGAUGAAAAUUCAGCUGUUUGUCAUAUUAAGAAUUCUAUGUCCUGUUAUCUUAUUAGGGCUGCUGUAGCAAAAUACCACAGAUCAUGUGGCUGAGAGAACAGAAAGAUUUUUCAUAAUACUGGAAGCUAAGAGUUCAAGAUUGAGGUGUCAGCAGGAUGGAUUUCUCCUGAAGUUUUUCUCCCUCACUUGCAUUUGGAGGCAUUCUCCUUUGGUUCUCACUGAUCUUUCUUCUGUAAUUAUGAAUUCCAGUGUCUCUUCCUCUGAUUAAAAUGACAUCAGUCCUCUUAUGUUAGGGUUCUACCCUUAUACCUCAUUUAACCUGAAUUACCUUCUUAAAGGACUUAUUUCUAAAAUCAGUCAUAGUAAGAAUUAGGGCUUCAACAGAAGAAUUUGAUUUGGGCACACACAAUUCAAUUCAGAACAAAUGUGAUAAAUCAUCUCUCUGGUUGUUUUUAAUCUUUUUUCCUUUAUAUGUCAACAGAUUUAUUUUGAUAUGCUGAGGUAUUAAUUUCUUUGUGCUUAUCAAAAUUGGUAUUGAAAUUCUUGGCUCUAGAUUAAUGUUGAUCAUCAAAUUUGGUAAAUUUUAGGCCACUUUUUAAAAUACUAAAUCUAUACCACUCUCUUCUCCUCCUAUGAUUCCUUAUGUGGAUGUUGGUGUGCUUGAUAGUUUCCUACAGGUUUCUAGGGUUUGUUUAUUUUUCAUCACUUUUUUUCCUGCUUUUCAGGUUGGAUAACCUCAAAACUGACCUCUUUUAAAAUUCAGUAUUUUUUUCUCUUGCGAGCUCAGAUUUACCCUUAUAUUAAUUCCAGUGAGGUUUUCAUCAAUCACUAUCAUUUUCAAGCCUUGAAUUUUAAUUUGGUCUCAUAAUUUCUAUUAAUAAAAUAUAGUCGAUUCAGUGAGAUGUUAUCCUCACAUGUUCUUUUAGUUUACUACAUAUAAUGUUAUACACUGAAAUAUUUUAUCUCAAAAUUUAUAUGUUGAAACCCUAACUCCCAAUGUGAUUUUAUUUGGAGACAGGACCUUUAAGGAGGAGGUUAAGGUCAAAUGACAUCAUAAGGAUGGGAUCCUAAAGUGAUAGGAUUGAUACCCUUAUAAAAAAGUGAGAAAUACCAGAGGCCCCCUUCUCUUCCCCUUCCCCUAACUCUCUCCAGAGAAAGGCCAGGUAAGGGACAUGAUAAGAAAGUGCUGUCUUCAAGCUGAGGAGAAAGGUAUCAUCUGAAGCCAACCCUACUGGUGCCUUGAUCUUGGAAAUUCAGCUUUCAGACUAGGAGAAAAUAAAUUUAUGUUGUAAAUGGCCAACAGACACAUGAAAAAAUGCUCAGCUAUUAGAAAUGACAAAUACCCACCAUUUGCUUCAACGUGGAUGGAACUGGAGGGUAUUAUGCUGAGUGAAGUAAGUCAGUCGGAGAAGGACAAACAUUAUAUGUUCUCAUUCAUUUGGGGAAUAUAAAUAAUAGUGAAAGGGAAAAUAAGGGAAGGGAGAAGAAAUGUGUGGGAAAUAUCAGAAAGGGAGACAGAACGUAAAGACUGCUAACUCUGGGAAAAGAACUAGGGGUGGUAGAAGGGGAGGAGGGCGGGGGGUGGGAGUGAAUGGGUGACGGGCACUGGGGGUUAUUCUGUAUGUUAGUAAAUUGAACACCAAUAAAAAAAAAAAAA